UUAUAUAUGAAAAAAAUAAAAAAAUUUAAGUUAGGGCAAGUCUUGGUUUGGGUAUUGAGGGCCUCAAAUUUUGAGGCCGAUAGGGGAUGAAAAAAAAAAAAAAAGGUUAGGGCAAGUCCUGGUCGGUCUGAAUCACAAGAAAGUCUGAAUCACAGCAAUUUCUUCUGCAGAAACUAGGGUUUGUGUUGUGCUUGUUUGCUGAUCGUCAUCAAUUUUAUGAUUGUUUACCUGAUCUUGAAGAUUACCAAAUAGACCGUUCAUAUAUAAAGAUGAGAGAACAGGCUAAGACUCGGUCGGAAAAGCUAAGGAUAAAGAAUCAAUACUAGAAGGUUACAGAUCUGGUGUGAGGAGCUAUUAUUUUGAAUUUGAAUGCAAAGAAGCCUGGGUGGGAAAACUGUGGAAGGGAGUAAUAGUAAAACAUGGACGAAUGAAAGAAGAUGCUCGAUUUUGGUGUUUGCGCAGAAAAUGAAGAUAUGAGAGAGUGGCCAUUGAUUCAAUACUGAUGUUGAAGGAAUUCAGAACUCCAUAUCUGUUGAGACAGACUGAUGUUGGUGUGGACUUCAACCAAGAAGUGAUUGUGAUUAGUCAUGAAGGAUUUGAUUCCUAUUUUGUUGAGUGGUUGAAGCUUGGAAACAACAUAGAAGCUGAGAGUCAGCCUUUUUUUGUAAACACAUUCGGCGACUAUGAAUUCAAGGAGUUCUGGAUUGAAUCGAUUAUGAGAUAAGAAUAUUUUUUUAUUUCAAAAAACUCCUUUCUUUAUUUGAGUAGUAUAUUAUAAUAAUACAAUUUUUUAUUAUCAAUUCCAUAAACAUUCUAGAUGCAAUAGGGUAUCUAUGCAAAAUGGGUAGAGCCCAUGGAAAUGUUCUACAUGAUGGCUCAUAUGUUAUGCGGGGAGGAAAGAUGCAUCUCAUCAUUCCUUCUAUGGAUGAAAUGAAGGCAGAACAAAACGGAAGACCUUGGAAAAUUCAAAAAGUUCAUAUUCCGUCAUAUUGGCCUAAACAAUCAUCCGUCUAGGCCUCACGAUUGGAAUCCAUUCUACAAUUACAAGACCUCUAAAGCAUCCCGCUAUUGAAACACCCUUUGUUAUUGAAUGAGAAAGAGAGAUUUCAAUACUUUGUGGCUCUCUGCCAUCAUUUGGGAUAUCAUCACAUGGAUUAUACUUUUAACACUGACCAGAAAAUCAAUCAAAAGUUGAUCAAUCCAUGGGGAAAGGCAAAUUGGAUAGAUAAGGUUCGCAUGGCUCAUAAAAAGCGACAAGAGUGUGUUCCUCAUGAGGUUCUACAGUAUCAAGAAAAUGAGGCUGGAAGUGUAAACCAAUACAAAUCUUGUAUGUCUGAUUUGGUUCGUUUUGUUGAUAAUACAACCCAUCAUGGUUGUGACCAUGCAAAGAAAUUUAAGGAACUGGUAUGCCAUUUUACUUUUUGUGUUGUCUCAAUUAGAUAUAUCUUGAAGAAGAUGUAGCCAUGGAGUUGGGGCACAUAUUUCCAGGCUUUCUCUCUGCCUUACGCCAGGUUUCGAUCGAAGUGUUUGAUUAUCCGAUAAUGUAGCUUCUAAUCUUAAUAUGCUCAGGUACAGUGAUAUAACAUGACUUAGCCAGAAUUUAGUUGUGUUUUCAGUGAUUUUAGUAACACUAUCAGUGGUAAUUGAUGUUUCCUUGGUAUUUUGUCACCAUGGCUUAGACUGUUUUGUUUUCUCUAAUAGUUCUUGAAUGUAAACCAGAAUUUAGUUGUGUUUCCAGUGAUUUUAGUAACACUAUCAUGGUAAUUGAUGUUUCCUUGGUAUUUUUUCACCAUGGUUUAGACUGUUUUGUUUUCUCUAAUAGUUCUUGAAUGUGAGCCAGAAUUUAGUUGUGUUUCCAGUGAUUUUAGUAAUACUGUGAGUGGCAAUUGAUGUUUCCUUGGUAUUUUGUCACCAUGGUUUAGACUGUUUUGUUUUCUCUAAUAGUUCUUGAAUGUGAGCCAGAAUUUAGUUGUGUUUCCAGUGGUUUUAGUAACACUAUCAGUGGCAAUUGAUGUUUCAUUGGUAUUUUGUCACCAAGGUUUAGACUGUUUUGUUUUCUCUAAUAGUUCGUGAAUGUGAGACGGACUCUCAUACUUGUUUGUCUUCUAUGCCUGACAUGUGCUUAAACUAUCCUCAGAAGUGUGUACUGUUCUUGGGACGCGUUCCUUUUUGAACGCCUUCUAAUACAAUUUUACUUAUUGAAAAAAAAAAAAAAAAAAAAAAAAUUCAAAAA